GGAGGCGGCGGAGACGGCGGAGGCGGCGGGGCCCGACGAGCGAGCCCAGGAGCCGCCGAACUCCGCUCUGGGGCCCCGAGGGCCGCGGCCGCGGCGGGGUCUCGGACCCGGAAGCAAAUGGACCGGAAGUGACGCGCGCCGCGGCCCCAGGAUGGCGGCUGGCCGGGUUGUCAUGGGAACCGGUCUGAGCCGGGCGGCGGAGGCUCAGAGCUGUGAGCGCAGCCCGCGGACCGCGGCUUCCGCCGCCCGGACUUGCCCCCCUCCAGGUGACCGAGAGCUGCGCUCCCGACCGCGCCUGAGCUGAUGGCUGGACCCCCUCGCCCCAUUUUACGGACGGAAAUACCGAGAGCAAGUGAGAUGCGCGGGAUCACGCGAGACUGAAUCCCGCCUUGGGAGCAUUGUUGACGUUACAGGCUGUCGUUAAGACCGGGGCCCCAACUUUGCCUUUGCCACUUCCUAGCUGCGUGACACGGGGCAAAUUACUUAACCUCUCUGAGCCUCAGCUUUUUCACCUGUAAAAUGGAACAAUUGUACCGCCUCCUGGGAUUCAUGUGAGAAUUAAUAUAUAGAAACCAGUUAUUACAGUAGUUGGCGUAUAGUAGAGAUCUAAAUACAUUUUGUUUUUUUAAGUAGUUAAGUCAAAGAAAAUGACCGGUCUCUGCCCUCAACUUCCCUUGGGGAAAACGAUGCCAAAAUAUUGCCUCCUAGCCUUGUGACUUUUCACCAGGCACCUGCAGUACCUGCGUGGUCUACACUGACGUUAAUCCUGGUAGCUUGUCAUUUCACUUCGUGGAUUUGUCUAUACUCCCACCCACCACGUUGACUCUGGGCUCCCCGAGGACUCGGCUUUUGUGGGUCACCACUCACUGAAUCCCUAGUGUUUGCAAAGUGCCUGGCACGUACUCAAGACUGUGUUGAACACGUUUGCGAUUGAACCGUUCAUUCUCUCUCUCUAACUUACUCCAGCCACUUAUUCAAGACUCAGAGCCCACCCCAUGCCAAGUUCUCUUCCUCCACGUGCUCUUGGCUCCCUGCACUUACCGUGCUCUUCCACCCUUCUGCCUCUGAGCCUCUAUAUGCUCUUCCCUCAGUGUGAAUGUUCUUCCCCUCACCUCCUUCCUUGCUUUCUUGACUUCCAGCCCCAGCUCAGUCCUCACAUCCUUUCUGAAGCGUUUUCUGAUUCCUCCAGGCAAAGAUCCACCUUCCUCUGGUUCCCCACAACACUGUCUUUCAUAAUUUUAUCUGAGCUCUUACUGCAGUGGAUUAUAUGUAUUUUUAAACCUGACACCCCCACAAGACCUGGCGCUCCUUACUCCUCUGUGUUUCCCCUGAGCUCUGCACAUGUCUGAUCAGGAGGCGCCCAACAGAUGUUCCUUGGCUGCAGGACUCUUUGUCCCAGCCUUGGUGUCCCCAGCUGAAGCCGGGGGGUCUUGUCUCAGGAGGGAAUGACAUCGUACCUGGGGAAGCAUUUGGAGAAGGAGCAGCCUGCUGUUCCUGCAGCAGCAGUGACUAUAUUUAUCUGGUGCUGUCCUAGCACCGCACAAGGUCUUUGUGCACUUCAGCCUUUAUCAGCUCAGGUUUAAGCUCCUCUCUUAAUCACCUGCAAGGGAAUGGUGUUUACAGGGAUUCCAGCUGAGAAAAACUGGCCCACCUGAAUUCUCUGCCUUUGCAGCAACUCACAACUGACCUUUGGAAACUGUUGCGGGACUGCAUGAGACUGCUAAUAAGUCCCUUGCAGCUCCGUGGUUCUGUGGCAGCCAAAAGGGAAACAGAGUUUGCAGAAGGCUUUACCAGUAGGAAACCCUGGUCAUCGAGACUCGGUGACAUUUCAUAUCAGAAAAGACCCAAAGUCUCCGAAGAGAGUCGUGUGUCUCAUCUUUUAGACGAGGUUGAAGGCCUGAGAUUCCUCUGCUUGGUAAUGUGGAACCGCAUGAGCAUCUCUCCAGAUUUUAUUACAUAAUGAUUCGCAGGUUAUGUAACAGUCAUGACAAUGAUCAGGCACCUCUACUUGCUAAGAGCCAACAACACGAACAAUCUACCUACUUCUUUCUAUUUUUUAGGCGUUUUUCUCAUCACAAAAGUAGCACAUGAAUUCCAAUGAUGCAGACGUGUGUAGAACGAAAAAUGAAAAAGAAAAGCAACCCUAGGACCCAGCAGUUUGAUUUCUUGGAAUCUACUAGAGAAACCAGCGUACAUGCACCAAGAAACCUGUUGCGUCGUUGUUUGUAAUGCAAAAUCAAAACCAGAACCAUGCUAAAUGUCCGUCAGUAGGGGAGUGGUGUGUCCGUGCUGAUGACUAGGGUGUGUCACUGAAAAAGAUGAUGGAAACCUGUGUACCUCUGCAGGACGUGCCCUGAAAUGGAAACCGUAUUGUCUAAGGGAUAAUGCGUGGGGAGAACUUGACCCAAAGCCUGGAAGAGAGUCAGCCUGCAGGCGGUGUUGUCCAUGAUGAGGGUCAUUGCUGUGCAACACGAAUGUGCCGGGAGCUGGCAAUUCUGUCUGCUGCUCAAAGCUCAGCAUUCAUUCUGACCUCCCACAGGUGGAGGCAGCGCUGGGGGAGGUUCGUAGCCCGAAGAGGCAUGCCUGGAAAUGAAGCUGGCACAGUGAGCUUCUUCACUAUCACAUUAUUCACAAUAGCCAAGACGUGGAAGCAACCCAAGUGCCCACUGAGUGAUGAACGGAUAAAGAAGAUGCGGCUAAGUACAGUAAGCCACAAUGAGCAGGGGCGGUAAAUGCUUGAGGAACAGGAAAGAAUAAGAGAGGCAGCGUUCACCUUGCCGGCCAG
ensembl:lncRNA